CAUUUACAGACAUACAAGGGGUGCAGGUUAUCUCAUUUAUCACAUUUACCGACAUACAAGAGGAGCAGGUUAUCUCAUUUAUCACAUUUACCGACAUACAAGGGGUGGAGGUUAUCUCAUUUAUCACAUUUACCGACAUACAAGGGGUGGAGGUUAUCUCAUUUAUCACAUUUACCGACAUACAAGGGGUGGAGGUUAUCUCAUUUAUCACAUUUACCGACAUACAAGGGGUGGAGGUUAUCUCAUUUAUCACAUUUACCGACAUACAAGGGGUGCAGGUUAUCUCAUUUAUCACAUUUACCGACAUACAAGGGGUGGAGGUUAUCUCAUUUAUCACAUUUACCGACAUACAAGGGGUGUAGGUUAUCUCAUUUAUCACAUUUACCAACAUACAAGGGGAGGAGGUUAUCUCAUUUAUCACAUUUACCGACAUACAAGGGGUGGAGGUUAUCUCAUUUAUCACAUUUACUGACAUACAAGGGGUGCAGGUUAUCUCAUUUAUCACAUUUACCAACAUACAAGGGGUGGAGGUUAUCUCAUUUAUCACAUUUACCAACAUACAAGGGGUGGAGGUUAUCUCAUUUAUCACAUUUACCAACAUACAAGGGGUGGAGGUUAUCUCAUUUAUCACAUUUACCGACAUACAAGGUGAGCAGGUUAUCUCAUUUAUCACAUUUACAGACAUACAAGGGGUGUAGGUUAUCUCAUUUAUCACAUUUACCGACAUAAAAGGGGUGUAGGUUAUCUCAUUUAUCACAUUUACCGACAUACAAGGUGAGCAGGUUAUCUCAUUUAUCACAUUUACCGACAUACAAGGGGUGUAGGUUAUCUCAUUUAUCACAUUUACCGACAUACAAGGUGAGCAGGUUACCUCAUUUAUCACAUUUACCGACAUACAAGGUGAGCAGGUUAUCUCAUUUAUCACAUUUACUGACA